GGGGCUGUAGCUCACUUGGGAGAGCGCCUCCAUGGCAUGGAAGAGGUAGCGAGUUCGAUUCUCGUCAGCUCCACCA
rnacentral:tRNA from 1 species